CGGAUAAACGCCUCGCUGUUUUUCACAUCCAUGACAGUGAAUGACAGGAUCUUGAAGUAUAAAUUAAUCGACAAUAUCAUAUCGGUGCAUGGUUCUGCUUCCGGAUGGUAUGCCCGAGUAAAAGUUUGGUCUGAUUAGCAUGGAAUAAACUACCUUUCCCGAAAGCUUUGGAUAACUUCAAGUUAUUGCUCGACGAGGAGUUGGCAAUUCAGGACGAGAGGGAGGGUUCAUCGAGCAAGUAUCGCGGUUCUUCUCUUAACAAAGUGGAAAUAGAUUUCAUGUGAUGUGAUUUCUUGUAUUGAUUAUUCACUCCAAUUAUUCCCUAAAAUUUCAUUUCGAUCGUUUUAAAGCAAUUACUUAUAAUAUUAGGUAAAUAAUUGACGCACCCGUUAUUGAAAGUUGAUCGCAUCGAAGCGAAGUUAUGAAAAAAAUUCUUGAUGGAGAUUUACGUUAACAAACAAGUUUAUUCACUGUAUAAAUAUACUACAUAAGAGACUACGCAAAAGAACGCACGCGCGCGUAAAUUGCGAGGAUGUAAAAAUAAUAUAGGCAGUAAUUUUUCAGUCUUCCGCACACGAGAAUAAUAGUAAUUUAUUAUAAACGUUCUCUUUUUCUCUUCUCUUCAAAAGGCGUUUCGAAAUCGCAAUGAGAGGUAGAAGUCCUUGCGAUCCUUGCGUAUUUUAUACAGGCUGUAAUACAGUUACGCGUAUCAUACAAAACUAUUGUACAAUUUAUGGCACAGGUUUCCCGAAAGGCGGCGAAUUACGCUUGCGAAUUGCGAUGCGAAGCAUCAGAUGAAUGAACAACGAAUGUAAGAUUAGAAAGUUGAAUUUCGGAAGAUCAAUAUUUUCAUCCCCAUGAAUGAUGAGCAGAAAUAGAGAUUACGGAAAAGAUAACAGGGAAAAAGAGGAAGGCUCUUAAUCAAAAUGGAAAGCUAAAAAGAUCUCUAGCUAAAAAGAUCUAUAUUGCAGGAUUAACAGAAACUUUCCUGUACUUGUGUUUCUUCAUUAACAGGCCUUCCUGGUUUUCCUCAAGGAAGAACUUACAAGAGGAGUAAGAAGGAUAAUGUGAUAUUGAAAAAA